CAAAGCAUUGCGAUGGUC
rnacentral:snRNA from 1 species